rnacentral:rRNA from 1 species
UACGGGGGGGGCAAGCGUUGUUCGGAAUUACUGGGCGUAAAGGGCUCGUAGGCGGCCAACUAAGUCAGACGUGAAAUCCCUCGGCUUAACCGGGGAACUGCGUCUGAUACUGGAUGGCUCGAGAUUGGGAGAGGGAUGCGGAAUUCCAGGUGUAGCGGUGAAAUGCGUAGAUAUCCGGAGGAACACCGGUGGCGAAGGCGGCUUCCUGGACCGACACUGACGCUGAGGAGCGAAAGCGUGGGGAGCGAACAGG